UAAAUACAACAUUAUCAACCUAUACAACUAAACACGACAUUAUCAACCUGCUACAACAUUAUCAACCUAUACAACUAAACACGACAUUAUCAACCUGCUACAACAUUAUCAACCUAUACAACUAAACACAACAUUACCAACCUGCUACAACAUUAUCAACCUAUACAACUAAACACAACAUUACCAACCUGCUACAACAUUACCAACCUGCUACAAGUAAACACAACAUUACCAACCUGCACAACUCAACACAACAUUACCAACCUGCACAACUCAACACAACAUUAUCAACCUGCUACAACAUUAUCAACCUAUACAACUAAACACAACAUUAUCAACCUGCUACAACAUUAUCAACCUAUACAACUAAACACAACAUUACCAACCUGCUACAACUCAACACAACAUUAUCAACCUAUACAACUAAACACAACAUUAUCAACCUGCUACAACAUUAUCAACCUAUACAACUAAACACAACAUUAUCAACCUGCUACAACAUUAUCAACCUAUACAACUAAACACAACAUUACCAACCUGCUACAACUCAACACAACAUUACCAACCUGCUACAACUAAAUACAACAUUAUCAACCUGCUACAACAUUAUCAACCUGUACAACUAAACACAACAUUAUCGACCUGCUACAACUAAACACAACAUUAUCGACCUGCUACAACUAAACACAACAUUACAACCUGCUACAACUAAACACAACAUUAUCGACCUGCUACAACUAAACACAACAUUAUCGACCUGCUACACAGAGAGGAACCAAGCAUAAAUGUAUUUUUCCAUUGAUUGAAAAUAGCUGUCACUGCAGGGGGAUGUUUGUAGCCAUCUUUUCAUUUUAUUUUCUCCUUCAUGUGGGAACAUCUAUAAUAUUAGACCCAUCUCUUUAUUCUCUUGAAUGACUUGUACAGACCAGGGUCUGUACCGACCCCGAGCUGGACUGAGGAGGUUUUAUACAGACCAGGGUCUGUAUCGACCCCGAGCUGGACUGAGGAGGUUUUAUUCAGACCAGGGUCUGUACCGACCCCGAGCUGGACUGAGGAGGUUUUAUACAGACCAGGGUCUGUAUCGACCCCGAGCUGGACUGAGGAGGUUUUAUACAGACCAGGGUCUGUACCGACCCCGAGCUGGACUGAGGAGGUUUUAUUCAGACCAGGGUCUGUAUCGACCCCGAGCUGGACUGAGGAGGUUUUAUACAGACCAGGGUCUGUAUCGACCCCGAGCUGGACUGAGGAGGUUUUAUACAGACCAGGGUCUGUACCGACCCCGAGCUGGACUGAGGAGGUUUUAUACAGACCAGGGUCUGUACUGAGCUGGACUGAGGAGGUUUUAUACAGACCAGGGUCUGUGAUCAACCAAGAUGGACUGAGGAGGUUUUAUACAGACCAGGAUCUGUACCGACCCAGAACUGAACUGAGGAGGUUUUAUACAGACCAGGGUCUGUACCGACCCAGAGCUGGACUGAGGAGGUUUUAUACAGACCAGGGUCUGUACCGACCCAGAGCUGGACUGAGGAGGUUUUAUACAGACCAGGGUCUGUGAUCAACCAAGAUGGACUGAGGAGGUUUUAUACAGACCAGGAUCUGUACCGACCCAGAACUGAACUGAGGAGGUUUUAUACAGACCAGGGUCUGUACCGACCCAGAGCUGGACUGAGGAGGUUUUAUACAGACCAGGGUCUGUACCGACCCAGAGCUGGACUGAGGAGGUUUUAUACAGACCAGGGUCUGUAUCGACCCCGAGCUGGACUGAGGAGGUUUUAUACAGACCAGGGUCUGUACCGACCCCGAGCUGGACUGAGGAGGUUUUAUACAGACAGGGUCUGUGAUCAACCAAGAUGGACUGAGGAGGUUUUAUACAGACCAGGAUCUGUACCGAGCUGGACUGAGGAGGUUUUAUACAGACCAGGGUCUGUAUCGACCCAGAGCUGGACUGAGGGGUUUUAUACAGACCAGGGUCUGUACCGACCCAGAGCUGGACUGAGGAGGUUUGAUACAGACCAGGGUCUGUACCGACCCAGAGCUGGACUGAGGAGGUUUUAUACAGACCAGGGUCUGUACCGAGCUGGACUGAGGAGGUUUUAUACAGACCAGGGUCUGUACCGACCCAGAGCUGGACUGAGGAGGUUUUAUACAGACCAGGGUCUGUAUCGACCCCGAGCUGGACUGAGGAGGUUUUAUACAGACCAGGGUCUGUACCGAGCUGGACUGAGGGGUUUUAUACAGACCAGGGUCUGUACCGACCCAGAGCUGGACUGAGGAGGUUCUAUACCUGGUCUGUGUUCAACCAAGAUGGAAGAGGAACGACUCAAACAUCCGAAUCUUAGUGCCAAGGUUACCGUGGAAACAGAGGAGGGGAACUGAUUUGUCUAAGUAACUAAUAUUAAAACAUUAAAAAAAUAAGUGUUAUGUAAAGUUGUUAUUGUCUAUUUGUUGGAGCGUAAACAGAGAAACAACAGAUGGGACGAUGUGCAUUGUUGUCCUGUCAGGAGUGGAUUGAUUGAUUGAUUGAUUGAUUGAUUGAUUGAUUGAUUGAACUCUGGCUCCAAAGGUAAGGUAGGAGCAGAUGGUAGGGCGAGGCCUCUUCCUAUUGGAGGACCAACAGCCUAUUAUCUAUCAGUCCCACUACCACCCAGUACACCAACUACCCUGUAGAACCAUCAGUCCCACUACCACCCAGUACACCGACUACCCUGUAGAACCCAGCCUAGUACCCAUCAGUCCCACUACCACCCAGUACACUGACUACCCUGUAGAACCCAGCC
rnacentral:lncRNA from 1 species